UAAUAUAAGUUGAAGGGAGUUUGUAGAACUAAACGGUUUAAAACUGGGGCGGUUUUCCUGCCUCCCAGAAGUCGUGCAGGGACACUGCUCUCUACUGAGAAGGCUUCAGGCCACAGACGAAACCCAAACACGGCUGUGGCCACGUCCAUGCGGCAAACACACCAGUAGGACUGAACUGCACAGCUCCCGCACUUGUCCUCAGCCUCGAUGCGUGGAGCCCAGCUGCACGGAGCUCCCUCGAAGCCUGCAGCUGGGAGGAAGCCCAGCACUUUUCUCUGACCACCACCUCAGGAUAGGCGCCCUUCUCCUCUUCCUGAGGCUUAGCUGCUGCAAAGCAGUGGCAUUUUGAUUUGAGAAGAAGGAGAGACCUUUGAUGAGCAGGCCCAGGAGCAGGUGGCCAGAAAACACAGAGAGCUUGGACGGUCUUGGGAAGGAAGGCCAGGCAUUGGCAUCACGGACCGGGCUAAGCAAGGCUCCUCAGCAGCCCUGCGUGGCCAGGACUCUGGUCACCUCUGCACGGGCACGCAGGCAAAGACUGGGAAUGGUACGCAAAUCACAAUGAAGACCCUAUUUGUAAACAGACUGGUGGAUGAAGAAACCUCCAAAUUGUCUUUCUCCUGUAGCAGCAGAACUGCUGGCCAAGGGCAGGUCACGUCAGAAGAUUCAGGACUAUGGAUGAGGUCCACAGGCUCAGGUUUCAGGCAGUAGUUCUAACACACGGUUCACACUGCCUCAACUCAAGGACGCCUCAGUGCUGAAGAAAGAGUUGAAAAAGCGCAUUGCUCCAUUCCUCUUCUCCAGAAAACCUGAGCCUGUUUCCACAAGAGGGACCUUAGAACAUGUUCCUAUGUCAUUCAUUACUGCUUAUUUCGGCUCUUCGUUCGUGCUGUGCUUCUCGUUUCAAAAUUUUAGCACAUGCGCUGUUAAAGCAAGUGCCAUCUUAUGCUUAUGGAUGGCCCAUUUAUGGGUGAAUAGUCACUCUUCGAGUUGAAUAGAAUGACAGUAUUUCAGUACUCACAUAGGAUGGAAGGAAGAGGUCUGAGUCACAUACCUAUGUUGAACACAACUGGUGAACAAAUACACUCUACUCAGUUCAUUAUUAUUCAACUGGUUUACUCUACCAGUCCAAUGGAAUGAAGUUAUGGGCAGUGGGAAAGAGCAAGUUCAUGUCUGGAUGCUUGUGCCCCAAUUAAUGUCUUCACGUGUCUCCAGUAGACCGUACAGAUAAGACUUUGGCCAUCCUCUCUGUUGGGGCAGCUUGUAUCUCUCUUCUUAAAAAGUUCUUCGUGAAACAAAACUUAGGUUUUGAAGUUUGGAACGGGUAAUGGGGGAUUUUUGUUUGUUAAAGUUGACUUUAAAGAACCUAAAUUAAGACAGAGUACUUAAAAAAAAAAUAGGCCAAGGGAAUGCAGAAAACAAACACACUUGAAGGGAAAGCACAGAUUUGCUAAAAUACUGACUUUCUUGCCCCAAAACGAAGAUGAUCCCAACAUUUCACUUCAUACACCAACGUCUUCUAUUUUGCGUUAGAUUUAAAUGAGCUGAACCCUCACAGUAAAACAUGUCACCAAGUUCUAAUCACGAGAAACAAAUUACUGAAAAAGUUUUUCUACUUUAUGGAAAAAUUUUAGAAAUUGUCUACUUAGUCAUAAAAAUGUUCUCAUAUCUCCUUUUAUCUUUUAAGUCAUCCAAGGGCCAGACGUUGAGAAACUGGGGUGAAGGCUUUCCCUUUGCUCCAAACAACUCGCAGCCUGUAAUGCAGCUUAAUUAAAUAAUUGCCUUGGGCUGUCUUGAGUAUAAUUAAUCAUUUAGCCCUAGAGGUUGCUGGAAACAACAGUGGACACAAAACUCAAGGAUUCAGGGUUUGUGAGAUGUAAAAUUUUGAUGUUCUCACAGCCCUUGCUGGCCCCGAGCUAGAUAAGCGAGUGUAAUUUAAGCUGAAUGUCAUAGAUAUUUAGUUGUAAACUUGGAGCUGGAAGUAUCUCGGAGUAUGGAAUUUAAAUCCAGCAGACUCUGGAAUUGGGGCUUUUAUCCCCGGCCAGAGUCGGGGCAGGAAAAUGAAGACCAUGGGUACCUUUUCCAGGGAAAGACAGGAGGAUCCUGGACCGGCCUCCAUGGUGGGGAGUGAGGCCGAGUUCUUGGGCAGUGAGUUGAGUAUAUGAACGGAGGAAAGCGGAAGAGAAAGGCAUGGUUGGGGGGUGAUGAGGGCCACCUGAUGGCACUCUGUCUGGGCUGUGCUCAUUGCGUUGACCACCCAAUGGAUCUGCACCCGGCUGUAUCUCUGGCCGUGAUCUUGACUGUCAAGGACACGCAGGAGGCAGAGCUGGGACCCGUGGGCCCAAGCCCUGCGCCUCUCAACCCUCACGCCUUCUUGCUUCCCUCCAGCACUGUUGUGAGAGGGAAGUGAGGCCUCUCGUGAGAAGCACGAGAAGGAAAAAGAGCCAGAGAAAUGGAGUGGCUGCUUUGAAUACAGGCAGCCUUCCUUAAAAGUUUAAAAUCGUGGUGUUUUUCCUUCAACGGCAACGAAGAGGAAUCUAUUAAAAUUUUAAAUUGACUUUGUUAGCUCUCAAAGUGAAAACUCAGGAGGCCUAUAUUUCCUCCAGAUAAGUUUUUGUUUUUCUCAAAAUUCAGUUUUUAAUCUCCAAAGCAGUGGCGCAUCAGGCAAUAACACAGCCUCCUGCUGUGGUUCUUAGUAUGAUCUUUCUUACGACUCCCGGGCAAUUCAGAGAGUGGCGCAUGGAUUUUGACUACCUGUAAUAAGGCAACGAUUAGAAUAUGUGAAUUUUCCGGACCCGGUUCCAUGUUCAACUGCUAAUUGAAUUUUCGUGGGAAAAAAAAGACUUCUGGUCUCAAUAUCAGGCUGUCAGUCAUAAGUUAGAACCGCGGUUGGCAUGAAAUCUAAUUUCAGUCCUUUCCUGGGGGAGCCCAUGGGUAAAAGUAAUAUCCCACCUCACGCACGCUGGAUACAGCGAUCGCAGCGAUGUUACUGAACACGCAAGCCCCGUUGGGCUUAUUUCCAACGAGCAAUUUCCAUGAGAACGACUCAUGUACAAUCAAAACAAAUAGGCAGUGUCCCCUACUGCAUGCAAAGCCCGGGCUAGCUAAGGUAGAACACACAAGGAUAUCUCACCCAUGGUUCCCGUUUCAAAUGUAAUUCACGUCCGGGUUUGGGAGGCAUGACAGAAGAGGUAAAACGUUAAACUAUUAUAAAAGAUUUUAAUAACAGUUGUGACUGGCACAUCAGUAAUAAUAAUAGCAGCUUACGAUUUAUGAAGAGACCACCCCGUGAGUCAGGCUCCUUUCUAAAAACAACAGCUUUAUCGAGAAAUGAUUCACAUACCAUUAAGGUCACUCUUUUAAAGCAUGCAACUCGAUGACUUUUAGUACGUUCAGUGAGUUGUGCAAACAUCACCACUGAUUCUAGAAUGUUUUCAUCACCCCCCAAAAAACUAUGUACCCAUCAACAGUCACUCCUUAUGCUCUCCCGCCCCAUGAGCCAGGCUUUUGAAUCCCUCUGUUUUCUCUAAUAUUUAGAGCAAUCUUUUUAGAGCAGGUAUCAUGAGCCCCUUUCACUAAGAGGAAGCCAAUGAUAAGAGUCCAAGGUCACUGUAGUGGGUUGAAUAGUGUUGCCCCAAAAGAUAUGUCUAAGUUCCAACAAAGGUACCUAGGAAUGGAACCCUUGGAAAAAGGGUCUUUUCGGGUGUGAUUUUUGCUCACGAUCUCAAGGUGAGCUCAUCCUGGAUUCACGGUGGGCCCUAAAUUCAAUGACAUGUGUCCUUAGAGAAAAAGGAGAAGACAGGGACAUGGCGGGGAGGCUACAUCAAGGUGGAGGCAGAAACCAGAGUGACACAAGCCAGGAAACGCCAAGGGUUGCCAGGAGCCGCCAGGAGCCAGGAGGGACCCACGGUGGAUCCUCCCUCCAACACUGCUGACUCCUUGACUUCAGACUUCCGGCCUCAAGGACUGUGACAGAAGAAAUCUCUGUCGCUCUAAGCCCCCAAGUUCGGGGUCGUUCGUCAUGGCAGCCAGGCAACUCACCCAGUCACACAGCUGGUCAGCGGCACAGCUGGGAAGCCCCAGGUGGACGUGGCUCCCAAGCCCAUCCCUCGUCCUUGGCCACACGGGGUGACCGGCCUUCUCGCCUUAGUCACCAAGGACUUACGCUGGGGAGGCCACAGCGGAGCUCGAGGGCAAAGGCCGCCCACGGGAUGGGUGGCCAGCCCGGUGCUGACAGAGGGAGGGAUCACAAAUGGCCUGUGUGAAACACGGGGCCUUGAGGGGAGUCUGGGAGGAUGGGGAGGGCUUGGAGGGCAGGUGAGUGGCCUUGAAGCAGCAAGAGUCGAGGAGAGAGAAAGGUCAGAGAGUGCGGGCGAACACUGAGGACAUGGGAGCGUGGGUGCAGACGCACGGUGGGGGCCGCGGAAGGAAGGCAGGACACACGAUGCAGGCUUUGUCUUCUGCCUCUCCCUUCUCCCUGGCUUUGGCCUUGGCUGCACCACGGCCUCGUCACGUACCGGUCCGCACCCUCCGUGCGCACUACAGUGUGCCUCUGAUGCAGCUUCGGCCUCCUGGCCGCCAGGACUCUGCUCUUGCUGCGUGUCCCCUCUUUCCUCUGCCUGCCCCGCCCCCACCCCACGACGCUCUCUCAGAUUCUGCAGUGUAACCGUUGGCGGCCACCCCUCUGACCUGCUGGGAUGCCAGCUGCUUUAAGGCCCGGGCCAUGUCCCCUUCCUCAGCGUCCCCACCUGAAGUCUUGUCACCGUUCCCGUGGCUGCCCUUGGCUGCAGUGACCUUCCGGGCUGGCGCUUACCCCUCACGGCCCAGCCCAGCCAGACCUUCAGGAUCGCCCGGCAUGCCGGUCCCUUCCGUGGU